AGCGAACGCUGGCGGCAGGCUUAACACAUGCAAGUCGAGCGGACCUUUCGGGGUCAGCGGCGGACGGGUGAGUAACGCGUGGGAACGUGCCUUCCGGUUCGGAAUAACCCUGGGAAACUAGGGCUAAUACCGGAUACGCCCUUAUGGGGAAAGGUUUACUGCCGGAAGAUCGGCCCGCGUCUGAUUAGCUAGUUGGUGGGGUAACGGCCUACCAAGGCGACGAUCAGUAGCUGGUCUGAGAGGAUGAUCAGCCACACUGGGACUGAGACACGGCCAGACUCCUACGGGAGGCAGCAGUGGGGAAUAUUGGACAAUGGGCGCAAGCCUGAUCCAGCCAUGCCGCGUGAGUGAUGAAGGCCUUAGGGUUGUAAAGCUCUUUUAUCCGGGACGAUAAUGACGGUACCGGAGGAAUAAGCCCCGGCUAACUUCGUG
rnacentral:rRNA from 1 species